rnacentral:rRNA from 1 species
GUCAGGCCUAACACAUGCAAGUCGAACGCCCCUUCGGGGGAGUGGCAGACGGGUGAGUAACGCGUGGGAACCUUCCCUGUGGUACGGAAUAACUCAGAGAAAUUUGAGCUAAUACCGUAUACGCCCUUCGGGGGAAAGAUUUAUCGCCAUAGGAUGGGCCCGCGUCGGAUUAGCUUGUUGGUGAGGUAAUGGCUCACCAAGGCGACGAUCCGUAGCUGGUCUUAGAGGAUGAUCAGCCACACUGGGACUGAGACACGGCCCAGACUCCUACGGGAGGCAGCAGUGGGGAAUAUUGGACAAUGGGCGCAAGCCUGAUCCAGCCAUGCCGCGUGAGUGACGAAGGCCUUAGGGUUGUAAAGCUCUUUUGGCGGGGACGAUAAUGACGGUACCCGCAGAAUAAGCCCCGGCUAACUUCGUGCCAGCAGCCGCGGUAAUACGAAGGGGGCUAGCGUUGUUCGGAAUCACUGGGCGUAAAGCGCACGUAGGCUGACUGGUCAGUUGGGGGUGAAAUCCCGGGGCUCAACCUCGGAACUGCCUUCAAUACUGCCAGUCUUGAGUCCGAGAGAGGUGAGUGGAAUUCCUAGUGUAGAGGUGAAAUUCGUAGAUAUUAGGAAGAACACCAGUGGCGAAGGCGGCUCACUGGCUCGGUA